CUUGUACUCCCUCCGUUCGAAAAUACUUGUCAUUGAAAUGGAUGUAUCUAGAUGUAUUUUAGUUCUAGACACAUCCAUUUUGAUGACAAGUAAUUUCAAACGGAGGGAGUACUUG
rnacentral:pre_miRNA from 1 species